GCCCAUGUAGCUCAGUAGGCAGAGUGUCACCUUGGUAAGGUGGAGGUCGCCGGUUCGAGCCCGGUCGUGGGCUCCA
rnacentral:tRNA from 1 species